ACGGAAGGCAGCAGUGGGGAAUAUUGGUCAAUGGGCGGAAGCCUGAACCAGCCAAGUCGCGUGAAGGAAGACGGUAUUAUGUAUUGUAAACUUCUUUAGCAGUAGAGCAAUAAGCGCCACGUGUGGCGUGAUGAGAGUAUACUGAGAAUAAGCAUCGGCUAACUCCGUGCCAGCAGCCGCGGUAAUACGGAGGAUGCGAGCGUUAUCCGGAUUUAUUGGGUUUAAAGGGUGCGCAGGCGGUCAGUUAAGUCAGUGUUCAAAUCGUGAGGCUCAACCUCAUCCCGCCAUUGAUACUGGUUGACUUGAGUGCGGUCGAGGUAGGCGGAAUUCGUCGUGUAGCGGUGAAAUGCAUAGAUAUGACGAAGAACACCGAUUGCGUAGGCAGCUUACCAGGCCGUUAAUGACGCUCAUGCACGAAAGUGCGGGGAUCGAACAGGAUUAGAUACCCUGGUA
rnacentral:rRNA from 1 species